UCCUACGGGAGGCAGCAGUGGGGAAUAUUGGACAAUGGGGGCAACCCUGAUCCAGCAAUGCCGCGUGUGUGAAGAAGGCCUGCGGGUUGUAAAGCACUUUCAGUGGGGAAGAAAAAAUCGGAUCUAACACAUCCGAUCUUGACGUUACCCAUAGAAGAAGCACCGGCUAACUCCGUGCCAGCAGCCGCGGUAA
rnacentral:rRNA from 1 species